GGGGGAGUAGUUCAACUGGUAGAACACGGAGCUCUGACCUCCGAGGUUGCUGGUUCGAUUCCAGCCUCCCCUU
rnacentral:tRNA from 1 species